AUUGAACGCUGGCGGCAUGCCUUACACAUGCAAGUCGAACGGCAGCACGGGAGCAAUCCUGGUGGCGAGUGGCGAACGGGUGAGUAAAGUAUCGGAACGUGCCCAGUCGUGGGGGAUAACGUAGCGAAAGUUACGCUAAUACCGCAUACGAUCUAUGGAAGAAAGCGGGGGAUCGCAAGACCUCGCGCGAUUGGAGCGGCCGAUAUCAGAUUAGGUAGUUGGUGGGGUAAAGGCUCACCAAGCCGACGAUCUGUAGCUGGUCUGAGAGGACGACCAGCCACACUGGGACUGAGACACGGCCCAGACUCCUACGGGAGGCAGCAGUGGGGAAUUUUGGACAAUGGGCGAAAGGCUGAUCCAGCCAUGCCGCGUGCAGGAUGAAGGCCUUCGGGUUGUAAACUGCUUUUGUACGGAACGAAAAGGUUUGGCCUAAUAAGCUGAGCUCAUGACGGUACCGUAAGAAUAAGCACCGGCUAACUACGUGCCAGCCGCCGCAGUAA
rnacentral:rRNA from 1 species